rnacentral:rRNA from 1 species
AGCGAACGCUGGCGGCAGGCCUAACACAUGCAAGUCGAACGAACUCUUCGGAGUUAGUGGCGGACGGGUGAGUAACACGUGGGAACGUGCCUUUUGGUUCGGAAUACCUCAGGGAAACUUGUGCUAAUACCGAAUGUGCCCUUCGGGGGCAAGAUUUAUCGCCAUUAGAGCGGCCCGCGUCUGAUUAGCUAGUUGGUGAGGUAACGGCUCACGAAGGCGACGAUCAGUAGCUGGUCUGAGAGGAUGACCAGCCACACUGGGACUGAGACACGGCCCAGACUCCUACGGGAGGCAGCAGUGGGGAAUCUUGCGCAAUGGGCGAAAGCCUGACGCAGCCAUGCCGCGUGAAUGAUGAAGGUCUUAGGAUUGUAAAAUUCUUUCACCGGGGACGAUAAUGACGGUACCCGGAGAAGAAGCCCCGGCUAACUUCGUG